ACAGCAGUAGCCGCGGUAAUACGAAGGGUGCAAGCGUUAAUCGGAAUUACUGGGCGUAAAGCGUGCGUAGGCGGUUUGUUAAGUCUGCUGUGAAAUCCCCGGGCUCAACCUGGGAAUGGCAGUGGAUACUGGCAAGCUAGAGUGUGUCAGAGGAUGGUGGAAUUCCCGGUGUAGCGGUGAAAUGCGUAGAGAUCGGAAAGAACACCAACGGCGAAAGCACUCUGCUGGGCCGACACUGACACUGAGAGACGAAAGCUAGGGGAGCAAAUGGGAUUAGAUACCCCCGUAGUCCCUGUCUCUUAAAC
rnacentral:rRNA from 1 species